rnacentral:rRNA from 1 species
AGAGGUGACGCCUGCCCAGUGAAAACUUUUUAACGGCCGCGGUAUCCUAACCGUGCAAAGGUAGCAUAAUAACUUGUCUCCUAAAUAGAGACUAGCAUGAACGGCUAACUGAGGGCCCAACUGUCUCCUAUGACCAAUCAAUGAACCUGACCUCUCAGUCCAAAGGCUGAAAUACACCCAUAAGACGAGAAGACCCUGUGGAGCUUUAAAACCACUACUUCCAAAACUAAGCAGCCUUUUUAAGUUGGGGCGACUACGGAAAAAAACAAAACUUCCACGAACAAGGCUAACCCCCCAUACCACCAGGUCAACAAACCAACAAUUAAAUCUUUGACCCAGAUAAAACUGACCAACGAACCAAGUUACCCCAGGGAUAACAGCGCCAUCCUCUUCUAGAGCCCAUAUCGCCAAGAGGGUUUACGACCUCGAUGUUGGAUCAGGACCCCCAAGUGGUGCAGCCGCUACUAAUGGUUCGUUUGUUCAACGAUUAAAGUCCUACGUGAUCUGAGUUC